ACCUGGCUGGCUCAGUUGGUAAAGCACAUGACUCUCAAUCUUGUGGUUGUGAGUUCAAGCCCCACGUUGGGUG